UGCUGUGGAUUUUAUAGUCAAUGUUUAAAGCCAACAGAGUCUGAAGCGAUGGAGGAAAUUUACGUCAAUAUGGAACCUGUUGGAAAAACUGCAUCUAAUCACACAGGUUGGAGCAGCUCCAAAGAGGCUCUGCCUCCGUGCGGCUGUCUGUUUGGGAAUCCUGAAUGUUUUACUUUUGGCUGAACUCAUCGCCCUCAGUGUACACACUCAUGACAUGACAGCAGAUUUUUCUGACAUCAGCAACAUUCUGACCGAGCAGAACAGCAGCAGCAAGUUUCCCUCCAUGAACGCUAACUUCACUGAAACGGCUCCACGAGCUGAAGACACUUUAAGGGAAAUUGUGUCCUACAGAAC